rnacentral:rRNA from 1 species
CGACAGCUAGGGGAGGCGAACAGGAUUAGAGACCUGGUAGUCCUAGCCGUAAACGAUGGAUGCUAGGUGUAGGGCCGUAGAGGCUCUGUGCCGGAGCGAACGCGAUAAGCAUCCCGCUGGGGAGUACGGCCGCAAGGCUAAAACUCAAACGAAUUGACGGGGACCCGCACAAGCAGCGGAGCGUGUGGUUUAAUUCGAUGCUACACGAAGAACCUUACCUGGGUUUGACAUGGGCGUGGUAGUGAAGCGAAAGCGGAGCGACCCUUCGGGGAGCGUCCACAGGUGCUGCAUGGCUGUCGUCAGCUCGUGCCGUGAGGUGUCGGGUUAAGUCCCGUAACGAGCGCAACCCUUGCCCUUAGUUACAAGUGUCUAAGGGGACUGCCGGCGGGAAGCCGGAGGAAGGUGGGGAUGACGUCAAGUCAGCAUGGCCCUUAUAUCCAGGGCUACACACACGCUACAAUGGCCGGUACAGAGGGCAGCGAAGCCGCGAGGUGGAGCGAAUCCCAGAAAGCCGGUCGUAGUUCGGAUUGCAGGCUGCAACCCGCCUGCAUGAAGCUGGAGUUGCUAGUAACCGCGCGUCAGCCAUAGUGCGGUGAAUACGUUCCCGGGUCUUGUACACACCGCCCGUCACGUCAUGGGAGUCGGUAACGCCUGAAGCCGGUAGCCUGACCCGCAAGGGAGGGCGCUGUCGAGGGCGGGGCUGGCGACUGGGACGAAGUCGUAACAAGGUAACCAAGGGCGAA